GACGAACGCUGGCGGCGCGCUUAACACAUGCAAGUCGAACGGAAAGGCCUGCUUUCCCUUGUGGAUUGCGGGUACUCGAGUGGCGAACGGGUGAGUAACACGUGAGUGAUCUGCCCCCAACUUGGGUAUAAGCCUGGGAAACUGGGUCUAAUUCCCGAUAGGACUGCAGGGUGGUGCCUGUGGUGGAAAACGAUUUUCUAGUGGUUGGGGAUGAGCUCGCGGCCUAUCAGCUUGUUGGUGGGGUAAUGGCCUACCAAGGCGGCGACGGGUAGCCGGCCUGGGAGGGUGGACGGCCACAUUGGGACAGAGAUACGGCCCAGACUCCUACGGGAGGCAGCAGUGGGGAAUAUUGCACAAUGGGCGGAAGCCUGAUGCAGCGACGCCGCGUGGGGGAUGACGGCCUUCGGGUUGUAAACUCCUUUCGACCGCGAGGAAGCCACCUGGUUGGAAGGGUGGUGACGGUAGUGGUAGAAGAAGCACCGGCUAACUACGUG
rnacentral:rRNA from 1 species